ACAAGUCCCAUAGCUGGCAGUGGGGCUGCAGCAACGAAUCUAAUUUAGAGAUGACUUUUUUCCAGAUUCAGCAAUAUUUUCAACAUAAUUGCAGCACUGUAAGGCCAAGUGUCUUUGGAGAUCUCCAAGCACGCUAAUAUCUGUGUAUGUUUACUGUUAGCACUGCCACUGUGGAAAGUGAAUCCAGCUCUGCAUUUAUGCAGAGCGUGUUUGCCAGCAGAGGAUUUUACCUGCUCCGGAAACCUAGACCUGAAGAAAACCCUCAAAUGCUGUUCCAACAAAUUAAAAUCUUCCCUCUGGAAUGUCUAUAGCUAUUUUUUUCCUUUAAUGUGGAAAAAAAGCAGCAACCACUACAAGGACUAGGAAGUCUGAGAAGAUUUCAACUUGUUGGCAGUGUCGCAGCAGCACCUCCCACCAGCAACAAAGACACAGUUAAGGUUAAAUUUGCAUUAAUGUUUAAAGUUAUUCUAUUCCAUGCUCCACUGUUUGUGAGAUCAGGGUAAUCUCUCUGAGGAUUUCCUGCUUGGGCAUGUGCUAGAUGAGAACUGAUAUUUUGCAAUGCAUGUUCAAUAUUACUGCAUCUGGAGCACAGUUAAAAUGCACGGAGUUUUGGAAAAUGUAGGAAUCGGCCUUUUAUUCAAGCAAAAAAAUAAUAAUUUAAAAAAAAAAAAAGGAGAUCUGUUUUCUCUGGAAUCGGGCCAAGACAGCACAGGGGAGCUGGCACCACAGCCUGCUCCUCCACCUGUUCCCACACCUGGUUUCACAUCUCUCUCUCCCUCCUGCUCUGCUGAAGCCAGUAUGUUCCCAAGGACCACUCUUCCCAUGCCUCCCACCAACCAGGGUACCACCAGCACCUUCUGAUCAUGCCUGCAGCCCAAGGAAAGCAAAACGCAGAUGCUGGACUUCUAAUGAGUGCAAAACACGAUGCUGCCUCUUGCUCACUGCAGCUCCAAAUGAUGCAUGACUGGGAUCGCUGGGACCAAGAGGCUCAAGAUCUCCCUUCCAGACCUCACCUCACCUCCAUCAAUGUCUCCCCUACGAGAUUACAUGUUUUGCCUUCUGGACCAAUCAUGCCAGUGCACAGCUGCCACUCCACAAAGGAGUCUGGGGGUAGUCUGCAGAACUGUACAUACAGAGCAUAAACUGCUCCAUCUUUAAUGUGGAGCAAAAUCCACACACGGCCAAAGCCACACUAACACCCCUUUAGUAUAACUGCUGAGGACACAGCGGGCCCUCACGUGGGGCACAGGUGAGCAUUUGUUGAACAAGAUUUAACAGAGAAGCUCCACUCAUAUCUCUUUGGCUCCUUUAUCAUUUCCAGUGUUGUUCUGUUCCAUGGAAAUAAGCCUGCUGGGAUAAUUUCAUUUAUGCUGUUCGCCAGUAAUGCGGUGCCUCAUUUGCAUCACCAAGGGAUGUAAAUCUGCCCCAAAGAGCCCACGAUCCACCCACAAAAUGCUCUCCUGAGCCAGACAGAAGAAGAGCAGAGGGAAAAGAAAAUGGCUGGGAUGAUGUAGAAUAACAGGAAAAAAUUCCAGAAGUGGAGAAGAAAGAGCAAAAGGGAACAAGAAUAUUCUGCAGUGCUACCUAGCUGAAAAAUGCGAUGGUGCACAAUGCCCACUGCCCUGGGCAAACCUCUAGCCACCGCGCAUUGCUCCUGGCCUCCUGCUGCAUUCACAAUGUGAUGUUAACAAAAGCAUCGAGAAGUGGCCUGUGGAGCUGGGAAGCUGAGUGUCGCAGCUCAUCACAGGGAGAAGAAAAAAAACACCCCAGAGCUCUGACAGCUCAGCUCUGCGUGUCACAUCAGUGUCCAUUGAGGAAAGCAGGCACAGGAGAUGUCUCGGUACAAAAACUGCUCUACACAAAAAACCAAUGGAUGUGGAGAGGGGAAGGAGCUCAGUGGCCAGUGAAGAUAUUUCAGAGGGGAAUGAAAGGUUCCAUUUCAAGUUACAUAGAAGAUUAAAACUAAAAAGGCUGUGUCUAGCUGUGCAGCUACCUGCCAGUGACUGAAAUCCCUUUCCCACUGCAUUCUCCACAGUGUUGGUGGCCUAAGUAUCAUGCAUGUACCUGUGCUGUGAUUAACACACCUCCAGGGGGCUGGGAAGCUCUCAGGUUUGCAGCAGCAGCUAGGAGCAAUGCGUACACUUGAAUGGUGCCACAAAACUUUUGUGGGCCAAGCCUGAUUUCCCAAGGGAGAAAAAGCAUCCUCAGGGCUCAGCUAGGUACGAACAAACUGUUUCAGCAGCAUCUGAGUCCCUCUUUCACACAGAACAACAGUUUGAGUGGGUGCAUCCAAACCUCAGAAAUGCAUGGUCUGUCCUGGACCCAAAGACAGUGCCAUCACUGCUGCCAUACAAGAAGGCUUAUCAUUUCCAUCAGACUUCAGGCAUUCACCACAUAAGAACUCACCACAAAAACUAGGGCUAAUGGAAUGUGUUCAGAACUUCCAGGACCUGGGUAAUGCAGAGAGUUGACUGCAGACUUGGGAAAUUUUCAUCUUUAAGUUGCUGGUUCCUACUCACAACCAUUACGGAGGCAGAUGAUAGCUGAUGGCCAGCGUAGGGUCCAUCUCAUAUACAAUAAACAACUGUGACAUCCCAGGAAAAAGAGCAAGCUUCGAAGAGGCUAUAGACAUGCUGAGCAUAACAAAGACAUGUUGGUAAAAAUAAGUAAUUCUUAAACUGCUGUGUAAGGCAAACAUUAAACCAAUCUCUAAGAGUGACAUUUUAGAAGAUAUUCAUGGAAGCAGCCCUGUAUAUACCACAGUGAUGCUUUGUAUGCUUUCCUAUGUCUCAGAAAGUGGAAACAAUUUUGAGAUCUCAGAUCUCAGAUAUUGUUAAAGUAACAUCUCCUUGAAGUCCCCCCUGAGAUCUUCAAAAGGGCAGAGAGAGAAGGCACUGUAGGCAGUCUACCUCUUCAUCAGCCGUCGUCACUCUCAGUUGAACUGCAUUUCCAAGAGGAAAAGCCAGCAAGGAUUUAAUUCCCAGAAAGUGGGGGACUGACCCUGUCCUCACCCUGCAUCCCACAACAGUGUAAUGGACAUCGGCCACAUCAAGAAGACAACUUGUUGCCCUAUCUCUACAUCUAGGCAGUCAAGGCCUCCAGCUGCUUUUGGAAUGGCGUCUGCAGAGUGCCUAUCUGCAUUAGAGGUCUCAAAUGGUCUUCGCUUCCUCCUGGCCUUGAACAGCAUGCAGUUCAUAUCUUGAAACCUGUGGAAUCCUUCCAUCUUUAUUUGUACAACUGCUGAUUCUAUUUUUAUUCCACGAAAAUUUAAUUCAUACAAAUAUUGUUUGCAAAUAGAAGCAAAGACCUUGUGCACUGGAGAAGCUCCCAGCAGCUCCAGCUUGCACUGCUGCAGUCCCAUUCACACUACUUUGCUAUCCUGGUGCCAUUAUCUGACAGUAACCACCUUACCUCUCCUCCCCAUCCCUUUUCAACAUUCUCUUUCCUCCAGUUAUGCUCAGACCACAGGUAGAUCUAACACAGAUCUAACACAUUUGUUUUGAGAAAGAAAACCUCCCCAGCUCCUCUCCUAACAAUCCUUACUCUCUUUCCAGUCUCUUCAGCCAUCUGCUCAUCCAUAUUGCAUAAUACCAGAGCCAGACCUAGCACCAGUAGAGACUCCUUCAAGAAACAGCCAGCCCAGCACCUUGCUAGGUGACCAAAGGAGAAAAGACUCAACUCCUGCUGCUUUCCUCAUAGGAUUUCUGGGGAGUUGUUCAAAAUGUCCCUUGCCCAGCCCAGCAGUGAGUCAUGGCAGCUCAAUUCAGGCUGAAUUCAAGUACAGUGCAUACUACAAAGUGCAUACAAAGUAUAAUAUAUGGUCUCAGGCAGGACGUGGGAUAUGAAUGGUCUUUAGACAUGCGCAGCACCAGUGCACCCUGGCAUGAAAGCGCAUAUCCUGCAGAGUGUCAUGAGGCCAGAAGAGAGGACACAGAGGACUUACAGCAGCACAAAGCUGAGAGGAAGGCACGAGAGCAGAAAAACAGACACAGGGAGCAUGCCUUUAGAUUCGAAUGGAAAGUUUUGCUGACUGCGCUGAUUACUGCAGAGAUAGACAAGACCUACUUUUAAUUGACUAGGAAAAGAAGCAGAAAUAAGGGUUGGAAAGAAUGAUCUUCUCCAGUGCCUGGACCAGUGUGGGCUGACAGGACCUAGACCAGCUGUCUUGGGACCAAUGCAGUUUUUCAUACCACCUUAUACUGAAAAGACCCCAGCUGGAGUAUGGAGUCCAGCUCAGGCUUCUGCAUGCAGCAAAUGAAAAGAGUUCACAGAAGAGCAGAGAGAACAACUGGACAGCUGGUUUACUCAAGGAAAGGUUGAAGAAACUGGGAUUACCCUAGAGACUAAGAGAAUAUAGGAUGGAAAGUGCAACUGUCAGGCAUAGCAUUUGAGGAUGCAAAAGGUCUAUCUAGAAAGAAAGAGAGAAAAAGAGAUGUGGGGAAAAUGUAUUUUCCACGUCCUCAGAUAUGAGGCUAGAGUUGGACCAAGGUCAAUUUAUUUUAAGAAUUAGGAUCAUCUUUUUAGGGGGUCAGGACAGUGAAGGCCUACAUGACAUUGCCUAGGGAUAUUGUAGAUAUCUCUGCACCAAGAGACCUAUAAGAAUAGGCUGGGAAAAUAUCUGUCAGAAAUGACAUGGAUGCAAGUGGCUCUGCCUUAGGCUGAGAUGACGUUGCAUAGAGCAUUUUUUAGAUCAUGUUAUGCUCAGGUUUCUUAGCUGUACAAGCAAGAGUCAUUGUGCUUAUCUUGGGACAGCAAAAGGAGGAUUCUCCUUUCCAGAUAUAUCAUCCUCUUGAGAGUUGUAGAUGUUGGCCAUCCUUACCACACUCCAUAAACUGAGCUUACCCAUCACCUUGCCUGUCUGCCCGCUCCUGUAACACAGCACACUGCAUUGGCUGCAGCUGUUGGAAGGCAGGCCGGCGCCAGGAAAAAGAGAAAUCUCUUCCAAGUAAAAGCAGGCAAUAAUGGGGACUGUUGACGGUCAGCUACCACAGCAGAGCAGUGGUAUUCUCCUCCAUAAACAUCAGAGCCAACAGAGGAUGAGCAGCAAGGCUAAUUUGAGAGCAGGCUAGUUAGGAGAAGAAAAACCCUUUGCUUACCCGACUUGACCUCAGAACUGUAGAGAACUACGUUAUGUGUGCUGUAGUAUAAACGCUUUCAAUCACCUCCCCUGCCAAACCAUUUGGCCCCAGUGUUCACAUGAGAAAGGCUAUGAAUUAAGGAUGCGAGAAUUUUUUUCACAGAGUUGAGAUCCAUGGCCAUUUUUGUAGCAUCACCAGUUUUAGAAUAUUGUUAAAAAUCUGACAUUUUUUUACAUAUUCCCCCCUACUUCUUUUCACUUUUUCUUGCCAACAAACUGCCAGAUCCUGGCCAAGAACACAGUCAGUGUGCUGAAAUCUAAUGUGAAAAGAUACUCCUGCUUCUAGCUGAAUUCGUAUAAGUAUCUAAACUUCACAAGAGAUGCAGAAAUGUCCCCUCCGGGUGUGGAGGCUGCAAAGAGGCUUCCUGGUCGAGGAUUUGUCUAUGCGGCAGAAGAAACAAGAGACGGGACACAGACCUCCAUGUUUGUCUCUCGUGUUCAAGGUUGGGGAGCCAGACGACAAGGAUGAUUCAUUAUGGCUGCAGAACCAUGUCCUGAAGGGUUCCUUAAGGUGGCUAUUGAGAGUAGUUAGAGCCAGAAAGAUGAGAGACAAGCCACAUCAAUAUCUUUCAUGCCAUAAGUUAUAAAAGCUGGGUAUCCCAGCUUAAGUGACAGAGAGCCCCUUUGCCAGAGCAACAUUCUGCUUUCACUACUCAUUUGAAUAACAGGGGAAAAAUUGGUUGUCAAUACUGAAGAGGCCACAUGCUGAGCCGACAUUUGCUCUCCCUUUAAAACAGAGCAGGGAAGAAAGGGAAACUCAUAUCUAGGUUGCUGGAAUAAUGGAGGGGAAAAGUGACAUCAUUCAGAGAUCCAAGAAAGAGACAGACCUCUGUCUGACCUGGACUGCAGGCUAGAGGUUUUGUGAAUUACCAGCAUCUGAGGACAACACCCUAGCCUUCCUCUAACAGCAGGAUGCUGACAGUUGUAAGGAUCCCUGCACUUGAGCUUGUUGACACAGUUGUGCUGCACUGAGGGAAACACAAAAGAGAAGAGGCAUUGUCAUUCUUCCCAAGCUAGAGGAAUCCAGGUGACAUACAUCCUGUGUCACAACUCUUACUGAGGAGUCUGAGAAAGCUUCUCUGAAAUUAAAAUCAGAGGAGGAUGUAGCUAUGCAUGUGCAUGCUGAAGUUAAGAAGUGCAAGUGUUACACUGCAGCCCUGCAUUUAAAUAUGAUGAAUGGGGCAGAUAAGCAAAAAGAACCCUACUAGAUUAACUGCUUAACAGCUUUUGUGGAAAAAGCUAUUUGUAAGUAUUUCAAAUAGUAUUUGCAGUGUUUUGGUGAGUAUUAAGUACUUACUUACUACAAAACCAUACAAUGUGCUCCCUCUGAAACCUGCUGGGAAGGACUGUUGAUGCAUAUGCUCAGAGCUUAUUUAUUUUGUCUGUGAUUUUUAUUUUACCUUUGCCAUUCCUGACAGUCAUCCAAUCCAUUGUUUGAAUCCUCCAGUGACAGAGAUUGUAUGAGUGCUGCAGGCUAUCAAUUCUGGCAUUGAAUUCCCCCCUCCAGAGCAGGACUAGAGCUGUGAUUUCAUGGCCACCCCAGAGCCCCAGCUCUUCUGACAGCUGCAGCCUGUGCUGCCCCAGAUGCAGAGCAGGGCUCUUGGGUGACCCUGCUGUGCUGUGCAGGGAAUGUGCCACCCACCCAUCAGCCCCUCUGCCACACACACUGCUGGUGAGAAACACAGCUAAGAAAUUUGUAGCAGGCAAAAAUGAGUAGGCUUAAACACAAAGAUAGUUUGGGUUUGGGGAUUAGACAUGAAGAAUAUUGGCUAUAGCAACACAGCUAUCUGCAUCCCAGAAGCCAGGCAUCCACACAUUGCAUUGAUGCUGGCCAGAACAUGUCAGGAUUGGUUUUUCUUCCAUCAAAGACACACUAACCCUAGCCCUGGAGAAGCAGAUGACCCAUCUUGCUCAGCUGCACUGAAGAUACAUACCCAGCUGUGUCUUGAAACACAUCAGUUCUGCAGGGGCAAGCAAAACAGAGACAGACCUGAACACUAGGCUGGCAAAUCCCAGAGUGAUCUGCAGUUGGAAAGCCCUGGAGAAUAUGGAUUGUACAGAGAAGUUUGCAAAGGACCUCACAAGUAGCAUGAACCAGCAAGCAGGUCAAGCAAAGCAGAGGUAGAAGUCUUUAUGGUAGUCCCACCCUCAAGAUUGACUGCAGCCACAGGACAGAGCCAUUACAGCUCCCUCACAUCUCCUAUCCAGCCUCAGCUGCUGGCGAUGCUCUGCUCACCAAUGCCGGGCACACCUCCUGCUGCAGAUUUACUGCUGCUUCUGACAGUCAAUAAAAGCCUGCAAUGCACUA